UUUCGCAAUGCCCGAAAGGGUGACGAAGCGACGCCGCGUGCGGGAAGAAGGCCUUCGGGUUGUAAACCGCUGUCGGGAGUUAAGAAAUGUAAGGAUGUUAAUAGCAUCUUUGCUUGACUAAGGCUCCGGAGGAAGCCACGGCUAACUCUGUGCCAGCAGCCGCGGUAAUACAGAGGCGGCAAGCGUUGUCCGGAAUUAUUGGGCGUAAAGAGCACGUAGGCGGCUAUGUAAGUCGGUUGUGAAAGCCUUCCGCUCAACGGGAGAACAGCAUCCGAUACUGCAUGGCUUGAGUGCGGGAGGGGAGAGUGGAACUUCUGGUGGAGCGGUGAAAUGCGUAGAUAUCAGAAGGAACGCCGGCGGCGAAAGCGGCUCUCUGGCCCAUAACUGACGCUGAGUGUGCGAAAGCUAGGGGAGCAAACGGGAUUAGAUACCCCGGUAGUCCUAGCCGUAAACGAUGGGCACUAAGUAGAGGGGUUUUA
rnacentral:rRNA from 1 species